AGCCUCAAAAAUUGAUACCCAUCAAGAAGUUCCUGUAACAGAUCAUCUUCUUCCUCCUCCAAAAAUAGGUCUUCACUUCUUGACACUCUAUCUCCUUUUAUCUCAGUCACAAAAACCCUAAGACCUCCGAAAUCCAAAGGAGACAACCCAAAACAAAUUAAGGUCUUCUAGAUAUUUGGGUGGCCUAGUUCUUCAUGUGAUCGAUGGGAAAAAGCCCCAAUUCUUAUUUGUCUUGUCUACCCUAAUUUGAUCUAAUAAGCAAAGGGCUUUGAACUUCUAUUUGUGACAAGCACUCUCACUUGGGGGUUGGAAGCAAGAUUACAUACCGUACAUGCAUGUCCAUAUGAUUAUUUUGAAUAGUAAUAUUUGUAUAUGAGAGUAGAAUAUUUUUUGUAUAAACAGUUAACAUCAUAUAUGAUGUUUACUUGUUAUAAGUGAAAAGCAUUUAUAAUGUAAAUGCAAAUUGUGUUUACCUCUUUCAGCGACAGCCAUCUUGGCUGUUGCAAUUUUUUUUUA